ensembl:snRNA U6 U6 spliceosomal RNA
GUGCUCACUUUGGAAGCACAUAUACUGAAAUUGGAACAAUAUAAAGGAGACUAGCAUGGCCCCUGUGCAAGGAUGACAUGCAAAUUCAUGAAGCAUUCCAUAUUUUU